GACGAACGCUGGCGGCGUGCCUAAUACAUGCAAGUAGAACGCUGAAGAGAGGAGCUUACUCUUCUUGGAUGAGUUGCGAACGGGUGAGUAACGCGUAGGUAACCUGCCUUGUAGCGGGGGAUAACUAUUGGAAACGAUAGCUAAUACCGCAUAACAAUGGAUGACACAUGUCAUUUAUUUGAAAGGGGCAAUUGCUCCACUACAAGAUGGACCUGCGUUGUAUUAGCUAGUAGGUGAGGUAAUGGCUCACCUAGGCGACGAUACAUAGCCGACCUGAGAGGGUGAUCGGCCACACUGGGACUGAGACACGGCCCAGACUCCUACGGGAGGCAGCAGUAGGGAAUCUUCGGCAAUUGGGGCAACCCUGACCGAGCAACGCCGCGUGAGUGAAGAAGGUUUUCGGAUCGUAAAGCUCUGUUGUAAGUCAAGAACGGGUGUGAGAGUGGAAAGUUCACACUGUGACGGUAGCUUACCAGAAAGGGACGGCUAACUACGUG
rnacentral:rRNA from 1 species